GGGCCACCGGAGGCUUAAUUAUGUUUUCUUAACUUACAAAAACCUUUGGCCUCGGAAAAUCCCCGCACUCCCCCAAAGUAAUGAAGAUAUUUGGAAGGCCACCCACCAACACCAGAGGUUUUUCCCAGUCUGGUCAGCCGUCCAGAUGGACUGAGCCACAGAGACCUGGAAGCCUAUGGGGACUCCAUCCAAUAAAGGCAAAUAAAGAGAGCCUGAAAGUAUAGCUUGGCACCUACGCAGCAAGCCACUCCUGUCUACAGUGCUCAUGAACCUUCCAGAAUCAUGGAGAAGACCUGCCGUGCAUGGCCCUUAUUGCAAACUGAAAGUGUUUCGAGGCCCAAGGUGGAAAGAAAAAAAAAAGAAGAAAGCAAACCUGGGAAACACAGAAUUCAUUCAGCCCCUUGUAGUCCCGCACUUUGGUCACAGAGGAAACAUCCCCUGACAGCCUGGUGUUCGAAUCUAAUGUGGUCAAAGCAAACUAUGGAGCCGGACCUAUGCAAAUCUCUACAGAAACUCGAGGUUAGAUGUAUUUUACACUAAGUAACACUCAGGGGCCAUCUUCUUGGGAUUGUACUUUAAUAGAAAAUAUGCCAGAGAGGCUAGGGAAAAUUAAGAAAAAUAUAAAUUUAAGUCAGAGAUCGGAAUGGUAAUUUGUGUGAGGGGGAAGAAAACCACAAGCGCUCCCCCCCUCACACUGCCUUGAAAGCGUGGAUGAUUUCAGAAUCCCACCCUACGAGAAAGCAAGGAGAUGCAGGGUUUGGAGUUAAGAAACGUAAGUGUCUCCAGUCCCCAGCUGCACAUUAAACUAAUGUCAAGUUGAAGGAAAUCGUAUUGCUGCUGAGGCUGGAGAAAGAUGUCGGAGUGCAAUAAUUAAUGGUGCAGGUUUGAAGGAGAAAGGCUGCCAGGCUAAUGGAACCUGAAGAGAGGUAAAACUCCUCCUGUCCAGAGACAAGACACUUUCCCACCCAACAUAGGAGAAAAGCCUUCCCUUAAAGUAGAGAGGAACCCUUCGAAACCUUCCCUGUGAAAGCCAGGCCUCGGUUGACUUGUGUGGGACUUGCAGGUCACCACCCAUGUGAGUGGCAAGCAGGCCUUGCUGACAGGACAAGCCCUGAAACCAGACCUGGCCAUUUCUGGUUCUCUAUCAAAAUGAAACCAAAAAGUUCUUCAACCCCAUGAAAAUAAGCGGGAGAAACCCUGUCUCGAAAAACCAAAACCAAAAAAAAGAGAGAGAAAGAGCGAGAGAAGAAAAUAAGUGGGAAAAAGUCACUCCCUGGACAAGGUUUCAAAGCUCACAGCCUUUUAAUAAAGCCAAUGUCUAUGAAAAGGGUUAACCUGUUGUUUAGAAAUGGAAAAUUUUGUUGCUGAAUA
rnacentral:lncRNA from 1 species